UACGUAGGGAGCAAGCGUUGUCCGGAAUCAUUGGGCGUAAAGCGCGCGUAGGUGGCUUCGUAAGUCCGUUGUGAAAGUCAAAGGCUCAACCUUUGAAAGCCGAUGGAUACUGUGAAGCUAGAGUACGGAAGAGGCGAGUGGAAUUCCUGGUGUAGCGGUGGAAUGCGCAGAUAUCAGGAGGAACACCGGUGGCGAAGGCGGGUCUCUGGGCCGAUACUGACGCUGAGGAGCGAAAGCGUGGGGAGCGAACAGG
rnacentral:rRNA from 1 species